UUAACCAGGUUUUCCGAAGGAAAAAACUGGUUAUUAGAUUGGCGAAUGCGGGCGGGCUGGCUGGCUGGCUGGCGGGCUGGCUGGCUGGCGGGCUGGCGGAAUAAGCUUGUCUGGGCCAUAACUAUGUCGUUCAUUGUCAGAUUUUAAAAUCAUUUGGCACAUUUGUUCACCAUCAUUGGACGGUGUGUCGCGCGAAAUAAUUACGUCGAUAUCUCCAAGGUCAAGGUCACACUUUGAGUUCAAAGGUCAAAAAUGGCCAUAAAUGAGCUUGUCCUGGCCAUAACUAUGUCAUUCAUUGUGAGAUUUUAAAAUCAUUUGGCACAUUUGUUCACCAUCAUGGGACGGUGUGUCCCACGAAAGAAUCACGUCAAUAUCUCCAAUGUCAAGGUCGCCACGACUAAAAAUAGAUUUAAAAAAAAAAAAAACUUACAAAGGGGGUUAAUUUUUUUUGGUCA